AACCUUUGUCAACUCUGUAUGCGUUUUCUGACUGCCUGUGUAGUCAUCUGACAACUUGAGAAGCAGGAACAAAGCACUGGCAAGGCUGACAAAUCCUGCAGAUGCAGCAAGGAAGCAAAGAAAGCACAAAAGAAGUCUAUAAUGAUCGAAAGCCAAAGGGAAAAGGAAAGGAUCGUGGCCAAAUAGUGUCAAAUACCUGCUCCUCCCAAUAAUUUUAGUAGAGGCUCUCUUGCAAGAUCUGUCAUCAAGCAUAGAAGAUAUUGCUACACCACAAAUCCUGAUGUAUUUUCUACCUGCUUUGAAAGGGAAUUCUGCGUUACUGAGCAAUAUUUGUGUUACCUUAUUGCAAUGGUACGUGUCGGACCAGAUACCUCCACGAGCUUCUCUCUUCUUCAUUAACUGGCAAGAUCUGCUGAUCUCGUGCAACAGGACUCUCCUGCCACCACAUCACCCAGUUCCAGAAGAGGGAUAGGCUGGUCACUAAACAUCCCAUCUUUUGCUACCUUCAGAUGCCCCUUGAGCUCAAGGCAUUGCUGUGGAGGCUCCUUCUAAUAGCAACCACUUAGAAAAUGGAAAUCCGACAAGGAAACUUACCUGUUUUCUCAUAUCCUCUGGCCACAAACAGAAGGAAAAAUAAUCUUAAAGUACUAUCUUCUGAGCACAAUUCAAAUUAAAAAAAAAAUAACUAAGAAAAAAAGAGAUCUCUGCACGUGUCACUGGAAAUAUGAUGUUAUUAGAGAAGCUGACAACCUAUCCACACCAGUGCUCUCCAAUACUGUCCGAGAAGAACAGAGAGGAACAGAAAUAGCAGAGGUCCACAGAAGGGUAAUAAAAAUAACAAAGACAUUUAGCGGCCUUCCACAUGACUGCACUUGUUUCAUUUGGGAAAUCUGAAUUUAAACAGUGAGAUAGUAAAAUUGAUCCUUCCUAGCCUUCAUAUAAAAGCAACAGUGCAACUGAUGAAUUGAGAAGUAAAGCCACUUGCAGCUGAUAACACUUCUUCACGGAGUACACAAUUCACUCCUGAUAUUCUAUGACACCAGUUGAGAAGAAUGAAACAGAGAAAUUUUAAAUACCAGCAUAUUUCCUCACUGUGCUAUUCCAAAUGAAAACUAUUACAAAUGAUAAUCAGAAAGCAAGCAACAAGGCAUCUGGGCUAAGAAAAGUGUCAUCCAAAGACAGAAAAGUGGCAAAAUUACAAAAAGGAAGAAACAGUAAGGAGUACAAUACCACCACAGUCAGUGAAGCUCUCCACUCCAACUGAUGCACUGUUUGCUAAAACACAAAGACAUCCACCUCAGUGAAGAGGGGGCAAGCCCUCUGGAAAGGCUUUCUGAUAGCAGAUACUCUGGUGUUCAAAGCUGAACCUCUUACCUUCUGGCACAACCGGCUCUUGACAGCAGAUUUCCUAACAGAUGCCAAGCUAUUCCUAUCAGUUUAACCCCAACAGGACAUUCCUGUUACCCAUAUUAAUCUUAGUAGAUGAGAUGCUGAAGGUUCAGUAGAAAAUACCAAUUAAGCAUUGGUGAUGGGUGGAUGGUUGGACCAGGUGAUCCUGUGGAUCUUUUCCGACCUUGGUGAUUCUAUGAUUCCAUGAUUCUGUGAUCUUUUCUUUGAAGGACUAAUCUGCUGAAACUAAAGCUUCCUGCAAGAAUUGGGCUAUUUAUAGGUAUAUAAGUCUUGCUCAAAUAAAUAAAUAAAUAAAUAAAUAAAUAAAUAGCGUGAAAACAUUUUCUGAAAAUGCCACAAUACCUGUUACACAGAAGCUUCCCUGUUCCCAAACCUUAAUCAGAGUUCCCAACCACUCAGCUCAGCUUUGGUUUUGUGCCUGACAGAUCAAACUCACUGUUUUUCAUAGUUUGACCCUAAUACGCGGGGAAAGGAAAACUGCAGCUACAGAUU
ensembl:lncRNA